AUGCACGCUGGCGGCGUGCCUAAUACAUGCCAGUCGAGCGAACAGACGAGGAGCUUGCUCCUCUGACGUUAGCGGCGGACGGGUGAGUAACACGUGGAUAACCUACCUAUAAGACUGGGAUAACUUCGGGAAACCGGAGCUAAUACCGGAUAAUAUAUUGAACCGCAUGGUUCAAUAGUGAAAGACGGUUUUGCUGUCACUUAUAGAUGGAUCCGCGCCGCAUUAGCUAGUUGGUAAGGUAACGGCUUACCAAGGCAACGAUGCGUAGCCGACCUGAGAGGGUGAUCGGCCACACUGGAACUGAGACACGGUCCAGACUCCUACGGGAGGCAGCAGUAGGGAAUCUUCCGCAAUGGGCGAAAGCCUGACGGAGCAACGCCGCGUGAGUGAUGAAGGUCUUCGGAUCGUAAAACUCUGUUAUUAGGGAAGAACAAAUGUGUAAGUAGCUAUGCACGUCUUGACGGUACCUAAUCAGAAAGCCACGGCUAACUACGUG
rnacentral:rRNA from 1 species